rnacentral:rRNA from 1 species
GAAUCUUCGGCAAUGGGCGCAAGCCUGACCGAGCGACGCCGCGUGGAGGAUGAAGGCCCUCGGGUUGUAAACUCCUGUCGAGGGGGAGGAAGGGGCGACCUUGACCGAUCCCUGGAGGAAGCGCGGGCUAAGUUCGUGCCAGCAGCCGCGGUAAGACGAACCGCGCGAACGUUAUUCGGAAUUACUGGGCUUAAAGCGCGUGUAGGCGGACCGGAACGUCGACCUCUGAAAGCCCCCGGCUCAACCGGGGAAGCGGAGCCGAAACGACCGGUCUCGAGGGAUGGAGGGGGACCUGGAACUUCCGGUGGAGCGGUGAAAUGCGUUGAGAUCGGAAGGAACGCCGGCGGCGAAAGCGAGGUCCUGGACGUCCACUGACGCUGAGACGCGAAAGCUGGGGGAGCGAACGG